rnacentral:rRNA from 1 species
UACGGUGGGGGCAAGCGUUGUUCGGAAUUACUGGGCGUAAAGGGCUCGUAGGCGGCCAACUAAGUCAGACGUGAAAUCCCCAGGCUCAACCUGGGAACUGCGUCUGAUACUGGAUGGCUUGAAUCCGGGAGAGGGAUGCAGAAUUCCAGGUGUAGCGGUGAAAUGCGCAGAUAUCUGGAGGAAUACCGGUGGCGAAGGCGGCAUCCUGGACCGGCAUUGACGCUGAGGAGCGAAAGCCAGGGGAGCAAACGGG